AUUGAACGCUGGCGGCAUGCCUUACACAUGCAAGUCGAACGGCAGCACGGGUGCUUGCACCUGGUGGCGAGUGGCGAACGGGUGAGUAAUACAUCGGAACGUACCUUAUCGUGGGGGAUAACGCAGCGAAAGCUGUGCUAAUACCGCAUACGCCCUGAGGGGGAAAGCGGGGGAUCGCAAGACCUCGCGCGCUUAGAGCGGCCGAUGCCUGAUUAGCUAGGUGGUGGGGUAAAAGCCCACCAAGGCGACGAUCAGUAGCUGGUCUGAGAGGACGAUCAGCCACACUGGGACUGAGACACGGCCCAGACUCCUACGGGAGGCAGCAGUGGGGAAUUUUGGACAAUGGGGGCAACCCUGAUCCAGCAAUGCCGCGUGAGUGAAGAAGGCCUUCGGGUUGUAAAGCUCUUUUGUCAGGGAAGAAACACCGGCUCUAACACAGUCCGGGAAUGACGGUACCUGAAGAAUAAGCACCGGCUAACUGCGUGCCAGCCGCCGCAGUAA
rnacentral:rRNA from 1 species